GACGAACGCUGGCGGCGUGCUUAACACAUGCAAGUCGAACGGAAAGGCCCUGCUUUUGUGGGGUGCUCGUGUGGCGAACGGGUGAGUAACACGUGAGUAACCUGCCCUUGACUUUGGGAUAACUUCAGGAAACUGGGGCUAAUACCGGAUAGGAGCUCCUGCUGCAUGGUGGGGGUUGGAAAGUUUCGGCGGUUGGGGAUGGACUCGCGGCUUAUCAGCUUGUUGGUGGGGUAGUGGCUUACCAAGGUUUUGACGGGUAGCCGGCCUGAGAGGGUGACCGGCGACAUUGGGACUAAGAUACGGCCCAGACUGCUACGGGAGGCAGCAGUGGAGAAUAUUGCACAAUGGGCGGAAGCCUGAUGCAGCAGCGCCGCGUGCGGGAUGACGGCCUUCGGGUUAUGAACCGCUUUCGCCUGUGACGAAGCGUGAGUGACGGUAAUGGGUAAAGAAGCACCGGCUAACUACGUG
rnacentral:rRNA from 1 species